AGGAUUGACAAGUCAGGAAUGCAGUUCAGAGCGUUUUUUGGCUUCCUACUCAGAAUGGUUCAACAAGAUCUUGUCUCAUAUGCAGCCUCCUUCAGAUUCCCAUUUCGUGAGGGUCGCUUCUUGUGCCUCAAUGUCUGAUCUGUUCACAAGGUUGGGUGGAUUUCCUAAUGCGAAGAAAGAUGGGAAUUCGCAAGCCUCUAAGCUUAUUCAACCAGUACUGAAGCUAUUAAAUGAGGAUAGCUCUGAUGCCUUCU